UUUAUGCAGAACUGAUGUGAUAAGCCAAAGGAAUUAUAAGGCACCACUACUCUGAAAACGCUCAUCCGUCGAUUUGUUUAAGCUCUGUUGCUACGUAAUAGAAGUUCUGGUGAGAAGCAUGCCUAGCAUUUAAAUCAAGGAGUUUUGUCCUGCUGGGAUCGGGUCGGUCCUGGCGCCACACUAAGCUCAUUCUGCUGUCCUUUGGAAGUUGAACAAAUGAUGCUGUGUCAAGAGAUCUGCUGGAGAGGGAGCGAGGACACGAGACUGAGAGCUCUGCAGAGGAAGCACAGUAGGACUCCAUCUUCUUUUCACUCCGCAUUUUUAUUUCAGACGGUCAGAAACCCACAGAAGGGCUGCACCGAUCCUGAAAUGGAAGGCUGAUAAAGCAGCCUCUCUCCCUCGUCUCCACGUGGCAUGAAAGGCUAGAAUGUUAUCUCUGAAGCCAGGGAAAAGUAAGCACUAAAUCGUGCCCAAAGGGGAGCAGAAAUGCAAGGAGCAGAAUAGAUCAAACACAGGUUCAGACAUACAAUCCCAGUGCAACUUCUGCUGAGGUUCAACGGUCAUUCCUGCCACACAAGACUGCUCGUUCCUUUAUCUGACUUCCUAACUGACAUGAAUUGGGAUUACUGGUGCUACAUUGAUCUUACUGAGCACCCCGUCUGUAGAACGGAAUCUGAAUGCUCCAGGUUGCAAAUUUGGUAUCACAGAACUUCCUUCACUAGAACAGGGUGAAAGGUGAGGAGAUACUCAACUGGUACGAAAAGGAAUCCCGAUAACAACUACGUGUUUGUUGUGUGUCUGUCCCAAAGGGGACUUAAACUUGAAAGUGGCUCAGGGCAGUAGUCCUGCUAACAUGCUGCUGAAAACACUGCUUAGGAAGCUGGUACUGUCAAAUCCCGACGUGGCACAACGAGAAGGUAAGCAGCAGAGACACCACGGAUUGCUAACGGCGGGUUCAGUGAGCAAAUAACAAAGAACGAAGUCAGCAUUGCAGAGCUUGUUAUUUUAACUUGAGUAGAGGAUGUUUACUGUUCGAGGGACAAACAAGAAUACAGAUAAGAUGUCAGCUCAGCAGACCUCAGCCCAGAAUUUAUCGCACGCUGCUUAAAGAAGCUUUAAAUAACGAUAACCAGGACCCCCCACGGGUCACGGCCACCUGCCCUCUGCAAACAGCGCCCAGGAACGGCUCCUGGGCGGCUCUCAGGCUUUCUGUGCGGCUCUCCUCAGGCUCUGAGAGCAGCGCCGUGUGAGAACGGGGACCUCUGAGAGCCUCUCCGUUCCGGCACGGAGAAAUCACAACACAGCGGUUAAGACGUCGAUGCGAUGCGGAUUUCUUUGUACCGCUGUUUCCGCCGUCAGCUUGCCUCCCCGCAACACAAACAACAUUAGCAAUCCCUUAAGGGAGUCGUAUUCUCCCUUUGAAACCACGCCGUUAACGCCAGCCCCGCUCCCAGCCGGCCCCCAUCCCGCG
rnacentral:lncRNA from 1 species